rnacentral:tRNA from 1 species
AAACUUAGGUUAAUACAAACCAGAAGCCUUCAAAGCUUCAAAUAUGGAAUCACCCCCUUAG